GAUGAACGCUGGCGGCGUGCCUAACACAUGCAAGUCGAGCGAAGCACUUUGCUUAGAUUCUUCGGAUGAAGAGGAUUGUGACUGAGCGGCGGACGGGUGAGUAACGCGUGGGUAACCUGCCUCAUACAGGGGGAUAACAGUUAGACAUGACUGCUAAUACCGCAUAAGACCACAGCACCGCAUGGUGCGGGGGUAAAAACUCCGGUGGUAUGAGAUGGACCCGCGUCUGAUUAGCUAGUUGGUAAGGUAACGGCUUACCAAGGCGACGAUCAGUAGCCGACCUGAGAGGGUGACCGGCCACAUUGGGACUGAGACACGGCCCAAACUCCUACGGGGGGCAGCAGUGGGGAAUAUUGCACAAUGGGGGAAACCCUGAUGCAGCGACGCCGCGUGAGCGAAGAAGUAUUUCGGUAUGUAAAGCUCUAUCAGCAGGGAAGAAAAUGACGGUACCUGACUAAGAAGCACCGGCUAAAUACGUGCCAGCAGCCGCGGUAAUACGUAUGGUGCAAGCGUUAUCCGGAUUUACUGGGUGUAAAGGGAGCGUAGACGGAUGGGCAAGUCUGAUGUGAAAACCCGGGGCUCAACCCCGGGACUGCAUUGGAAACUGUUCAUCUAGAGUGCUGGAGAGGUAAGUGGAAUUCCUAGUGUAGCGGUGAAAUGCGUAGAUAUUAGGAGGAACACCAGUGGCGAAGGCGGCUUACUGGACAGUAACUGACGUUGAGGCUCGAAAGCGUGGGGAGCAGACAGG
rnacentral:rRNA from 1 species